AGAAACAGCAGAAAGUUUAAAACUCAUGGAAACUGAACAAUACACUACUGAAUGAAAAAAAAUGGGUCAACAGAAAUUAAGAAACAAAUUAAGACUUUUUAAUUGAAAGAAAAUGAAAACACAACACACCUAAACCUAUUAGAUACAAUGAAGGUGAUUCAAAGAGGCAAAUUCAGAGCACUAAGUACCUACAUAAAAAAUCAGAGAGAUCCCAUAUCAGCAACUUAAUAGCACACCUAAAAGCUCUAGAACAAAAAAGAAAAAAAUAACAUCAAAAGGAGUAGACAGAAAGAAAUAAUCAAACUCCAGACAGAAACCAAUAAAACAGAAACAAGAAAAAGAAACAUACAAAAAAAUUACUAAAAUGAAGAGUUGGUUCUUUGAGAAAAACCAGUAAGAUUGUUGAACCCCUAGACAAAUUAAACUAAAAGAAUGGAGAUGAAAGGUCUAAAUUAGUGAAAUUAGAAACAAAAAAAUGGAACUGUCUUAGUUAGGGUUUCUAUUGCUGUGAAGAGACACCAUGACCAUGGCAACUCUGAUAAGGAAAACAUUUAAUUGGGGUGGCUCACUUACAGUUUCAGAGGUUCAGUCCAUUGUCAUCAUGGUGGGGAGCAUGGCAGCAUGCAGGCAGACGUGGUGCUGGAGAAAUAGUGUACUACAUCUUGCAGGCAACAGGAAGUCAAAUGAGACACUGGGCUGUAUCCUGAGCAUUGGACACCUCAAAGCCCGCCCCCAUAGUGACACUCUUCCUCCAAUAAGGCCACGCCCACUUCAACAAAGCCACACCUCUUAAUAGUGCCACUCCCUAUGAGAUUAUGGGGGCCAAUUACAUUCAAACUGCCACAGGAAAAUAUCAACAGGCACCUAGGAAACCCAGAGAAUCAUAAAGACAUACUUUAAAAACCUGUUCUCCAUCAAAUUGGAAAAUCUAUUCUUGAGGAUGCCAUACACUUAGGACACAAGACUCAGAGGACAUGAGAUGGUUCUGACUUGAAAGCCUCACCCUCAAGGACUAGUUUUCAUGGUACCAGAAGGUGCCAUGCCAGUGAUCAAUGGAGGAAAACCACCAAUAGUUCUAUGAUCUACAAAUAUGGUGUCUAUCAACCACAAAGACCAGCAUAGCAUGAUAAUCCGAAGGUUAUGAAAGUUACAGACAUACUUUGGUGGUAACUAAUCUUUCACUUAAAGAUUGCUCAACAAGAGGGAAAUCACUAGAAACCUAGCCAACUGCACAGUGUUGGUGAAAUCACGAAUCUUAGAGGAGAACUUACAGCCACCGCUGGAGGUGAAAUUUUCUUUGAGCUGCCAAUCAACUUCCCAAAUAAAGACAUGGAGACUUAUUAUUAAUUAUGAAUGCUCCACCUUAGCUUAGGCUUGUCCCACUAGCUCUUUUAACUUAAUUUAACCUGUUUCUAUCCAUCUAUAUUUUGCCUUGAGGCUUCUUACCUUUCUUUUGUUCUAUAUGUCCCACUUUCUGCUUCCUCUGUGUCUAUCUGGCCCCUGGCGUCUCCCUGUCAUCUGCUUUUUUCUUCUUUCUUCCUCCCUCAAGCCUCAAUUCCUCCUCCUAUUUAUUCUCCCUGCCUGGAAGUUCUGAUAUACCUCCCCCUUGCUAUUAGCCAUUCAGCUUUUUAUUAGACCAAUCAGAUGCCCUAGGCAGGAGAAGUAAAACAGCAACACAUCUUUACACAAUUUAACAAAUAUUCCUCAAUACACCACUUUACCAAACCAGCAUGAUUCCUAACUACAUUCUAAAUAUUUAUUCUUAUACCCACAGAUAAAUACAGAUGUCACUCCUCAUCAAAGAAAUAUCUCUUUGCAACAGGUGGAGACCAUUACAGAAAGUUACAACUGAUCCAAACCAGAGAACAGGUAACCAAAGUAGCUGACAUAAAAGAAGAUAUUCUAGACUAAGAAAGUUCUUCCAGAAGACCAAGAGAAACUAUAAAGAAAUUCACAUCAUAACUCUCCAAGAAGGUGCUCCAAGAAAGACUUCAGAGGAUUCGCUUGUCCUUUCCUCAAACAUGGGAUCUCCCAGGGCCACUGAACCUAGAGGUGUCUCGGUGUCAUCAGUGGAGGAUCUGGAGACUUCUUCACCAGUCAAGGCUGCUCCAUUUGGAGUUCUUCAUCAUAAUAUGGAGUGAUGAUGUUUCCUCUUCAUGAGUCCAGAUGUGUCAAAGAAACCAUGGGUUCAAACAUACGUGCACAUCUGCAGAAAUCAAGUGGCUCCAUCAGAGCUCUGCUGUUCAUUAAAGAUCAAGCUGCCAAUAUGAGUGUGCUCAGAUUAGCCCUUGUUGUAACGGCCCCAAUGCCAGUGUUUGCAUUCCUCCCAACUGAAAAUUUGUCAGAGAAGAAAGGCAUUAAACCUGUCACUGCAGAUAAAGAUCAGACAUCUGAUUUCAAACAGAAGAGACAAGCACCUUACCUCGGGCUCUCCUAACUCUGGAGUAUACUGUUCGAAGUCAAGAGGAGAACUAGACCAGAUUGGGACGGGGAAAUAAAUCCAAGUCUCACCGCCACUUCUGUCGGUACAGAGGAUAUUGGACUUUGAACAGAAAUCCAGAGCAGAGGAGAACGAACAGCCAGCCCUUCCCAUCUUCCUCUGAACACGGGUUCACAGAAUGAAAGCCUCUAGACAAGUCACAACCAUUUUCAGAAAAGUAAAAGCUUGGGAAGAUACAUUGAGAAAACAUUUGGACAUUUAAAAACUUACAGUAUCUCCCAAUGCCUACAUAUAAUCUUUGGAAGUUGGCACCAUGCUGUGCCUGGGGAGAAGGCUCGGCUUUAAGGUGCUUGCCUUGCAGGCAUGAGGACCUGAGGUCAGCAUCCACGCUAAAAAAAUAAAAAUAAAAACAGGCACGGUGGCACGCUUGUAAUCACACCACUGGGGAAGAGGGCCGGCGAGGACAGGAGGGUCUCUGUAACUCAGGAGCCUGGCAGCCUGGCUGAUUUUAAAGUUCCAGGUCAGUGAGAGACCCUGUCAGAAAAAAAAGAAAGAUUGGUGGUGCCUAAGCAACGACAUUUGAAGUUGUCCUCUGACAUCCACGUUCAUGCACAGAUACAAGCACACACACAGAGAUACGUGUACUUACACCCACACUCAUGCACAGAUACAAGCGUACACACAGAGAUACAUGUACUUACACCCACAUUCAUGCACAGAUACAAGCAUACACACAGAGAUACAUGUACUUACACAUAAAAGGAACUAGCUCUACACUGAUAAAUAAAAUGGAGACUGUCAAAAACCUUCCUCCUGCUGUCAGAGCCCUCUCCCAU